CAGCCCAGUACCCAUCAUUAGUCUCACGCAGCCGCAGGCUGGCUGGACAGUACCCUAAACCUUAUAGAAAGGCUCUUUGAGAAAGGAUUAGAUCAUCUUUCCCAUCUAAUUAACAUGACUCCUUUCUCCCUCUAGCAUUAAAACUGAGUGGAAAUGAUUCAUUCCACCUUUCAGAACACCUGAGGCAACAGCGAAAAUCUUUUCAAAUUCUAAUCCCAGUCAACGAAUGUCAGUGGCAGGCAAGUCCCUCAACCCUGUGAAUCCAGUGAUUCGGAAGGAAUCAUUAUGUUGUUUCCAAGCUAGACGGAGAGAGCAACCUACAGAUGGAACCACAAGGCCAACAGAUAAAAGUAAGAGAAAAUGGCCCCCAAAAUACCGAGUCCAGGCAACAGUUGGUUGCUGCAAGUGGGCCAACGGAAAGAGAACAAGCAAACUCACCACGGGUACCACAUUCCACCCAGAUACACACCAAUUGUAGUUCAGACGACAAUGCUGGUGCUUCCCAAGGCAAAGCACGCACAUCUAAAGACCACAUUGAUCCACUUUCCUCUCCUCAUCAAUAAAUAACACAUCUACCACAUAUGGACAUUCCUCAUUCCACGUAGGUACAAAGUGGAAACGCACACGUCAGCCACAGAGAAGGUGACACAAAUGGAGCUCUUGAGGUGCACUGAAUCAUGGAAAUCAGGUGUGGGAAGAAAAUACAGCCCCUCCUGAUCCAGCGACAAUGCAAGUGAUUACUAGACAAUUCAUAAACAAAUGCAAUUCACAGGCCAGCCCUCUAAAGCCUCCUCCAAAAAAAAAAAGUUACUGGGAAAAUGCAUUUCCUUUGUGGUGUGUCCAGCUUGUUUCUUGGCUCAGGCUUGUAAAUUGCUCUCACUGGUUUUUAGAAAUGCCCUGGUUCUUUUCACCCCACUGUUCUCAGCCUACGCAAAUCACUUCCAUACGACAAGGAUCUGUCGGGAUAUAGAGAGCUCAAUAAAAGCUAGAUCUUUGAUGCCGAUGGCAGCUGCAGACUCCAGCUCCUUCCCAUUAUCGUGAUAGACUGUCUGUUGCUGUGUUCAUUUUGGUUCCAAAUCCACAUCAUGUUAUUCUGAACUCGCAGGCCAGAAGCCGCAACACAGAAUAAAUCCUCAAGUACUGACGUGCUAAAGUAAACAGUCUCCUUGUUUCAGGCAUUAGAGGUUCUCUACUGAGCAUGCUAUGGCUGUGAAUAUUUUGUAUUGCUUUAAGGAUUUAAUAGUUUCUGGGUGCUUCUGGUUUUAAAAAUCACAAGGACAGCCAAAGCCUAGUAGACCCCAAUAUCUGGACUCCAUAGAUGUUCAAGAAAUACAUUUUUGAGUAAAUGUUUAGUUA
rnacentral:lncRNA from 1 species